GAAUUUGGGAGGGAGCAUAGGCAUCAAGGAGUCCGAUUUAAAAAAAAAACAAAAAGUGACAGCUCAAGAGAUGAUACUGAUUGAAAUAUAAAGCUACAUUGUUCACCUUAAAGGCUGUGCUGUUGUUCUUGAAAAGUAUUAAACAGGAAAUCCCAAGCUAAAAGCCAACUCAGGUUUUGCAAGCUGGAUUCAUGGGGGGGAAAAAAACAACCAUGGACAUGCCCAAAUGGAGAAGUCUAUCAUCAAGCGAUAUCGACAUUUGAGGAGAACAGCAUCAAGUGACUACUGGACAAGCAAGUGUGGCGCAAACUCAGUGCCUCCACCCAUCCUUCCAAAACUGACUUCAUAUGUAGUAUUUGCAAUUGGUUAUGCAAAUCAAGAUUUGGCCUACCAACCUAAACUAUAAAGUCUUUUUUACCUUCUUCUCUUGCUGAACAUUCAUCUGUCGACGGGACAAUGCAUCUGUCACUAUCUAUAUUCAAUAUAAGCUCAGGAUGACCACAAGUUUAUGGGUGACAUUGCUCCAGGUUUGACGAUGCUUCAAGUA